UACGGAGGAUGCGAGCGUUAUCCGGAUUUAUUGGGUUUAAAGGGUGCGUAGGCGGGCUUUUAAGUCAGCGGUAAAAAUUCGGGGCUCAACCCCGUCCGGCCGUUGAAGCUGGGGGCCUUGAGUGGGCGAGAAGAAGGCGGAAUGCGUGGUGUAGCGGUGAAAUGCAUAGAUAUCACGCAGAACCCCGAUUGCGAAGGCAGCCUUCCGGCGCCCUACUGACGCUGAGGCACGAAAGUGCGGGGAUCGAACAGG
rnacentral:rRNA from 1 species